AUGAAGAACUACAUCUGUGUCUGUUGAAGAAGAUUGAGUGUUCCCAAGAGAUCCUGACAUCUGGGUUCAAUGCAGCAUGUGAAUGAGAGGCUGCGGUUGACUCCCCUGAGUAAGAAAAGGAAAAAAAAGAUACAAGAAUUACAAAAGAAGGGAGGAAUAUGAAGCCACGGAUGUCAUUGGAAAUGUCAGGAAAUCGAAAAGAAUCUGUACAAAAUUAAGGAGCUGACGCUAGGAAGUCUGAAAUACACAGGGAAGACUGAGAUAUGCAGUCUGGAAACAGAAUUCUCCUUCCCUGGGAACCUGAGUCUGCUCUCAAGGCCUUCAAAAGAUUGGAUGAAGUCCAUACACAUUAUGGAGGAUAAUCUGCUUUACUUAAAGUCUACUGAUUGUAGAUGUUAAUUAUACCUAAAAACUAUAUUUCACAGCGACAUCUAGGCUGGUGUUUGACGAAACCUACUACAGCUUAACCUAUAGGCACUAUAGCCUAGCCUAGUUGAUGCAUAAAAUUAACCAUUGCAACCAUACAAUUUGGUCAACAUUUUUGCUACCUAUUCCUAUGAACUUCUCCCAAAUUUUGUUAGUAGAUCCUCUAGGCCCCCAUACUUCCUCUUACAAAAAGCUGUAUUUCUGUCAGUAUCACCACAAACUCAAAACAACGAAGAUUCAGAUUUUAUGUUAUUUACACAUUAACAAAUUAGCCCCCCCCCCCCCUCCCCCCAGUUUCCCAGAUCCUGGCCAAAGACACGAGAUUGCUGGAUCAGAGAAAAGGGAUUUUUAUUGCUCCCAGCAAUAGCAGGAGCUAGAGUAGCACCUUCCUUAUCAGGUCUCUUAGACCCAGUUCUCACAGGGCAGUGCAAAGAGAACCACAUGAUGUCUACACAUGCAAUGGGCUGUGUUCAGAAGAACCCCAGGGUUUUACAGUAGGAAGUCAUGAUAUCUGCCAUUCACUCUGCAUAGACACAUGAUUGAGCUUAUAAGACAGUUUGCUACAUAGAAAUCUUUGAAAAUGUAAUCUGCAAAAAAGGCAUGAAGUGUCACAGCUCAGAAUAGGC